rnacentral:rRNA from 1 species
UACGGAGGGAGCUAGCGUUAUUCGGAAUUACUGGGCGUAAAGCGCACGUAGGCGGCUUUGUAAGUAAGAGGUGAAAGCCUGGAGCUCAACUCCAGAAUAGCCUUUUAGACUGCAUCGCUUGAAUCAUGGAGAGGUGAGUGGAAUUCCGAGUGUAGAGGUGAAAUUCGUAGAUAUUCGGAAGAACACCAGUGGCGAAGGCGGCUCACUGGACAUGUAUUGACGCUGAGGUGCGAAAGCGUGGGGAGCAA